rnacentral:lncRNA from 1 species
CACACUCAUUCAAGCAUUUACAAAAGCUUCUGAAGGACACACCUUGGAGUAGCAUGCAUUCCCUCCUUGGACAGCUUCAGUGAACAGCAGGCUUUGAGGUUCCUCUGCCUUGUGCCCCCUUCCACAGCCUGCUAUUUUCUUUUUGAUGCCUGGGGAAGAAAAGGACCAGCACAAGCUUCUCCCUAAAACAGAUGUCUGGGACCAUUACGAUUACAGGACGAGCUGCUGGGUUUUGAUCAGUAAACUCGUUCGCAAACUGAACGACUUCAGCCUGAGACGUACUCAUCUUGCUGCAGACACCCAGCUCCACGUUCGUCCGUGUUUCCAGAGACCUUCAAGGCCGAAGACGGAGGAAAUGCCUGAAUUUCCCCCGGCCCCUCCUCGCUUCUCGCCUGCCUCGGCAGCCAAUCCUCGCCCUGGGGAUGGGGGGGGGCUGGAGACAGCCCCAACCCAGCGUUUGUUUUAACAAACAUUUCGCACUGCCUAUGAGGAAACAUGCUGCUGCCCAGCGCUCGGGGAGGGUGGGAUUUCCUUCCUAUUGUCUGCCUGGCUCAGCCUGCAAUGCUUCGUAGCAGAGUUCUGCAUUAACUGUUUCGAGCUCUGGGUUCUUUUUCCUGUUGGAAAGUUAAUGACCAAAAGAGGUCUGUAAAGCACGUAUAUUGGAGAUCAAACAAAAUGCUGGUAAAUUCAAGAACUGAGGCUAACCAAGACUGGCUAGUACAGCUUCAAAUCUGUAUCUUAAUAAGCAUAAACAAGUCUUUACAACGCAAUUAAAAUUAAUUCAGAACAACCGAAAAGUGCAUUAUUUUUUCCUUCAGUACAUAUUCUGAAGGUGAUAUAAUACAGGUAGUUACCCAGGGGACCUCAUGAGUCUAUCAAAACACUACAAGACUCAUGAACACUUGUAUGUAAACUGUUUGCUUGUUUUUCUACAGUUGAUUUAAUUCACUGCCCAUCAGCUCAGGCAAGG